rnacentral:rRNA from 1 species
UUUUCGUGGAGGGUUCGAUUCUGGCUCAGGAUGAACGCUGGCGGCGUGCUUAACACAUGCAAGUCGAACGGGAUCUAGUCAGCUUGCUGACUGGUGAGAGUGGCGAACGGGUGAGUAAUGCGUGACCAACCUGCCCCAUGCUCCAGAAUAGCUCUUGGAAACGGGUGGUAAUGCUGGAUGCUCCAACUUGACGCAUGUCUUGUUGGGAAAGUGUUUAGUGGCAUGGGAUGGGGUCGCGUCCUAUCAGCUUGUAGGCGGGGUAAUGGCCCACCUAGGCUUCGACGGGUAGCCGGCCUGAGAGGGCGGACGGCCACAUUGGGACUGAGAUACGGCCCAGACUCCUACGGGAGGCAGCAGUGGGGAAUAUUGCGCAAUGGGGGAAACCCUGACGCAGCGACGCCGCGUGCGGGAUGAAGGCCUUCGGGUUGUAAACCGCUUUUGAUUGGGAGCAAGCCUUCGGGUGAGUGUACCUUUCGAAUAAGCGCCGGCUAACUACGUGCCAGCAGCCGCGGUAAUACGUAGGGCGCAAGCGUUAUCCGGAAUUAUUGGGCGUAAAGAGCUUGUAGGCGGUUCGUCGCGUCUGGUGUGAAAGCCCAUCGCUUAACGGUGGGUCUGCGCCGGGUACGGGCGGGCUAGAGUGCAGUAGGGGAGACUGGAAUUCCCGGUGUAACGGUGGAAUGUGUAGAUAUCGGGAAGAACACCAAUGGCGAAGGCAGGUCUCUGGGCUGUUACUGACGCUGAGAAGCGAAAGCGUGGGGAGCGAACAGGAUUAGAUACCCUGGUAGUCCACGCCGUAAACGGUGGACGCUGGAUGUGGGGCCCAUUCCACGGGUUCCGUGUCGGAGCUAACGCGUUAAGCGUCCCGCCUGGGGAGUACGGCCGCAAGGCUAAAACUCAAAGAAAUUGACGGGGGCCCGCACAAGCGGCGGAGCAUGCGGAUUAAUUCGAUGCAACGCGAAGAACCUUACCUGGGCUUGACAUGUGCCUGUCGACUGCAGAGAUGUGGUUUCCCUUCGGGGCAGGUUCACAGGUGGUGCAUGGUCGUCGUCAGCUCGUGUCGUGAGAUGUUGGGUUAAGUCCCGCAACGAGCGCAACCCUCGCCCUGUGUUGCCAGCGGGUUAUGCCGGG